rnacentral:ncRNA from 2 species
CCGCCCGUCGCUCCUACCGAUUGA